rnacentral:misc_RNA from 1 species
UCCGGCUUUUCGCCGACAGUCUCCGUAGGGUGCCCAGCUUCACCUGAUGGCAACUACGGACAAGGGUUGCGCUCGUUGCGGGACUUAACCCAACAUCUCACGACACGAGCUGACGACAGCCAUGCAGCACCUCUGUACCCGCUUGCCGAAGCAAGACCCUCCAUCUCUGGAAGUCGCAGGCACAGUUCAAACCCCGGUAAGGUUCUUCGCGUUGCGUCGAAUUAAACCACAUGCUCCACCGCUUGUGCGGGCCCCCGUCAAUUCCUUUGAGUUUCAGCCUUGCGGCCGUACUCCCCAGGCGGGGUACUUAAUGCGUUAGCCUCCGGCACGGAGGGACUUUCAAUAACCCCCCACACCAAGUACCCAUCGUUUAGGGCCAGGACUAC